rnacentral:rRNA from 1 species
UGCAAGUCGAACGAGAAAUCGGGUGCUCAGGCAACUGAGUGCCGGAGAGUAAAGUGGCGCACGGGUGAGUAACACGUGGGUAACCUACCCCGGAAUCUGGGAUAACCUCGCGAAAGCGUUGCUAAUACCGGAUAAUGUCUUAUAGGUUGUGACCUUUGAGAUGAAAGGCAACCUCUUCAUGAAAGUUGUCGUUCAGGGAUGGGCCCGCGCACCAUUAGCUUGUUGGUGAGGUAACGGCUCACCAAGGCUACGAUGGUUAGCUGGUCUGAGAGGAUGAUCAGCCACACUGGAACUGAAACACGGUCCAGACUCCUACGGGAGGCAGCAGUGAGGAAUUUUGCGCAAUGGGGGAAACCCUGACGCAGCAACGCCGCGUGAGUGAAGAAGGCUUUCGGGUCGUAAAGCUCUGUCAAGUGGGAAAAAAGUCUGAUGAUUAAUAGUUGUCAGAUCUGAUGGUACCACUGGAGGAAGAACCGGCUAACUCCGUGCCAGCAGCCGCGGUAAUACGGAGGGUUCAAGCGUUGUUCGGAAUUACUGGGCGUAAAGGGCGUGCAGGCGGGUUGGUAAGUCAGAUGUGAAAGCCCUGGGCUCAACCCAGGAAGUGCAUUUGAAACUGCCAUCCUUGAGUAUGGGAGGGGAGAGUGGAAUUCCCAAUGUAGAGGUGAAAUUCGUAGAUAUUGGGAGGAACACCCGUGGCGAAGGCGACUCUCUGGACCAAUACUGACGCUGAGACGCGAAAGCGUGGGGAGCAAACAGGAUUAGAUACCCUGGUAGUCCACGCUGUAAACGAUGAGAACUAGGUGUAGCGGGUAUUG